rnacentral:rRNA from 1 species
CCUACGGGGGGCAGCAGUAGGGAAUAUUGGGCAAUGGACGAGAGUCUGACCCAGCCAUGCCGCGUGCAGGAAGACGGCGUUCUGCGUUGUAAACUGCUUUUAUCUGGGAAGAAAAGGCCCGUGCGCGGGACAUUGCCGGUACCAGAUGAAUAAGCACCGGCUAACUCCGUGCCAGCAGCCGCGGUAAUACGGAGGGUGCAAGCGUUGUCCGGAUUUAUUGGGUUUAAAGGGUGCGUAGGCGGCUGUUUAAGUCAGUGGUGAAAGACAUCGGCUCAACCGAUGCAGUGCCAUUGAUACUGGGCAGCUUGAGUGUUGGAGGGGUACAUGGAAUUGAUGGUGUAGCGGUGAAAUGCAUAGAUACCAUCAGGAACACCGAUAGCGAAGGCAUUGUACUGGCCAACAACUGACGCUGAGGCACGAAAGCAUGGGGAGCGAACAG